GACGAACGCUGGCGGCGUGCUUAACACAUGCAAGUCGAACGGAAAGGCCCUGCUUUUGUGGGGUGCUCGAGUGGCGAACGGGUGAGUAACACGUGAGUAACCUGCCCUUGACUUUGGGAUAACUUCAGGAAACUGGGGCUAAUACCGGAUAGGAGCUCCUGCUGCAUGGUGGGGAUUGGAUGGUUUCGGCGGUUGGGGAUGGACUCGCGGCUUAUCAGCUUGUUGGUGGGGUAGUGGCUUACCAAGGCUUUGACGGGUAGCCGGCCUGAGAGGGUGACCGGCCACAUUGGGACUGAGAGACGGCCCAGACUCCUACGGGAGGCAGCAGGGGGGAAUAUUGCACAAUGGGCGGAAGUCUGAUGCAGCAACGCCGCGUGUGGGAAGACGGCCUUCUGGUUGUAAACCGCUUUCGCCUGUGACGAAGCGUGAGUGACGGUAAUGGGUAAAGAAGCACCGGCUAACUACGUG
rnacentral:rRNA from 1 species